GUUGAUCUUAAAGUCAAAAAGUGAUCUUGUGCGUAAAAAGGUUGGAGACCACUGCUCUAAGGCAAGUUAGCCAACAGUGGAACACAUACAAACUGUACUCAUUUGACAGUUGACCCUGCACAUGCCACAAGAUCAACAGCUUGGCAUUAUGCAGAGUUGUUAUAAUGUUACAGCUGUGAUGUGAACCAAUGGAUAACACACCCAAGACUUUGCCAGAAUUAUGCUGGAACUAUUGUAAAUGAUUAUUUUUUCUGAAAGAUGCAUAACAUACCUUUUCACCUGCAUAGGAGAAAUAAUACAUUUGAUUUGGUUGCAGUAUUUGUGAAAAAUAUGCAGUCUCUGCUUUAACAAAUAUUAUUUUUUAUGUAUUGAUGCCUUUCAGCGCUAAGUUUACAAGCCCAGCAGCAGAUCUUCGUUCUCCUUCCUAAAUUGGUCUAGGUCCCCUCUACAAAGAUCAAUCAAUCAAUUUCUUUUUUUAUUGAGGGAUUUACUGGUUUGAAGGUCAAAGACUUACAUCAUCCAUAAAAUCAAUCAAUGAGGAUGAAGAAGAAGAAGAAAAGGAAUCCUAUUUAACGAACACAGCAGUAAAGAAACAGAAAAAAAUGGAUGAAGAGAACUAUUCUGUAAAAAUAAAUAAUGAUACAGUGUUGCAAAAACAAUUAAAGAAAAACGACUCUCACAUUUCACCAUACAUGACCUUUGAAGAGAAUGGACCAUGAUUACAGCUAUUCAAGAACAGGAAGAAGGCAUAGUAAAUCAAACAAUUAUCAUAAAUUAUUAUUGUAACCUAAAAUGAUGUUCAAAAUGUAGAAGGACAAUGGGAUUAAAAGACAGUAUUAACUCCUAAGCAAGUAUGCACACAACCUGCAUGACAGCAAGAAUAAAACAUUUCCAUGAUUGCCAAAGACAUUCAAAUGGCUGCACACUUACUUCAAAUUGAUCCAGAGCAGAGGUAGGAGCAUUCAAAAAUGCCAAGAAAGAAUUCUGUGAGUCUUGGUGCUUUACACCUAGAAAACAGCAGCAAGUUUUUUAAGCUACAGAAAAAUGACUGUUUCAUGGAGGCCCUUUGUCUUGCUGAAUCUGGUUAUAGGUGAAUCAUCUAAAAUGUAUUAUGGACUGUCAUGUCUGGUCUGCUACUCAGUACGAAAGAAGGUACCUUUUUAACACACAUGUAGAGAGUAUACAGCCUAUGGUUAAAUGUUCAUUUCCCCAGAUGUGUGUAAUGCCAAGAUGAUACCUUAGAUAUACUGCACAUAUGUAUACAGGCUGUGUAAUACACAGAUAUCUAAUGUGUAUGCGUCCCUUUACAAUAUGUUAAUACUGAUUCACAUACAUGCAUGUAACGUGGCUCAUUUCACACUUUGUGUCAGUCGGAUUUCUAUAUUCCAGGAGAGGUGCACCCCUGCGGGGGGGUGGAGGGGGAAGAGAAAUGGGGUGCAGGUGGCCUUUGCGCUGCUGCCCUUCUCUAGAAAUUCUGCCAGGAAAAGGCAGCUUAAACUUGUGGGUGAGGUUCCAAGGGAGAUAAGCCAGUGUUGACGGUACCCCACGCCCAGUCAGCACCACCCACUUUUAAGUAUUUGAGGACAGUUGAGCACCUAGUGUAGGUGUUGCAGAUGCUUUAUAAAUGCAGUUCUACUCCUGGGGUUCUUUUCACCAGGAGGAGUCUACACCCUAUGAAGAUACAGGGACUGGCACAACCUAGAGGUGAAUCAAGCCCAAUAUGUCUGAUGUUUCUUCUUGACAUUAUUCAGGUCCUCGUAAUAAGCUCUAACAGAAAUAAGAUGACCACAGAGUAUGCCUGAAUUGCUGUUUCCCCAAAAGAUUUGUCAUUACAUCUGAGCUUCUCUUCUAGAAUGCUGUGUGUGUGUGUGUGUGUGUGUGUGUGUGUGUGUGUAAGAGAGAUCUGUUACAUUACAGUUCCUUCUCUAACUAGGUCUUUUGUACUGGUGACCCCUUUCAAAUAGCAAGCCUCUGAGUGCGACCCCCCUUAUA